rnacentral:rRNA from 1 species
CGGGGGAGCAAGCGUUGUUCGGAUUUACUGGGCGUAAAGGGCGCGUAGGCGGCCAGCGCAAGUCAGUUGUGAAAUCUCCGGGCUUAACUCGGAACGGUCAACUGAUACUGCGCGGCUAGAGUGCAGAAGGGGCAACUGGAAUUCUCGGUGUAGCGGUGAAAUGCGUAGAUAUCGAGAGGAACACCUGCGGCGAAGGCGGAUUGCUGGGCUGACACUGACGCUGAUGCGCGAAAGCCAGGGGAGCGAACGGGAUUAGAUACCCCGGUAGUCCUGGCCUUAAACGAUGGAUGCUUGGUGUCUGGAGUUUUAUAGUCUCCGGGUGCCGCAGCUAACGCGCUAAGCAUCCCGCCUGGGGAGUACGGUCGCAAGACUG